AAAUUAUACAGCCAUGUUUAUGAAGUCUACAUUUCCCUUGUCUUGGAUAUAUAUAUAUAUGGAGAUAUAUAUACAAUUCAAGCAGUUUUAAUUAAGGGUAAUCAUUGGGUUUUUCUGAAACCGGAAAGUCACGAGUCUCUCUCUUUUUUCACUUUCACAUCUCCAGCAAGGAUGGUUGCAAUUUCCCCUUGCAUAAAGGCCCAGGGGACAUUGGAGCCCACAAGAGGGCAUUUUUCCCCACUGGGACAAUAGACCUCUCCACUAGCUCCCUGCUGUUUGAUGCUUUGUCUGGAGCAAGGGAAGCAGAACUUGUGCGAAGGGACAGACGGGCACUGCACAAAAUGGGUGUCCUCCAGCCGCUCGUGGCAGAGGGUGCAGCACAGCGGGGCACUGGCUGCCAGAGAGGAGUCCGGGAGGCUGGCAGGGUGCACUGGCUCCAGUCCUCCUGUGUUGCCUGCUCCCUGGCCCCCCACCUCUCUGGGGCCCAGCCUUCUUUGGUUCAUAGAGGACGGAGAGGGCGGACUGUUGCUAUUCCUCCUGGUAGUGGAGUGAACCUGGUUGGCAUCUUUUGAGGCAUGACUGCCCCCUGCAUUGUCUGCUACUAAGAUCAGGGCUGCCAUGGGGGACUGGGCAUGCGGGGCAGGUCACACAGGUAGCACGAUUGCCGCCGGGACGCGGCCGCCACCGCCACC
rnacentral:antisense_RNA from 1 species